rnacentral:lncRNA from 1 species
AAUUAUUGCCGAUCCUCCCCUCCAACACUGCUCUCAUCACCUAUAUACUCUUCUCUCUGCCCGUCUCUGCUUCCCCCCCCUUCCCCCCCCCCUUUUCUCCCGGCCGACGGAGCUGAAGGGGCGGGGGUUCCUUCCUUGGAGUGUUUCUAGAGCUCGGAGGCUGCUGGUAGGGGGGCACCACUUUCAGAUAAAAACAUAGACCUGAAUGGCAUCAUCCAGUAUCCAAGGAAACCAUUGUGUCUGUAACCAGCUAAUGAGCUGCAACAGAGCCUGGCCUUCAUUUUCAGCAAAUUAAGUUCAUCCCUCAUAGGAAUUGUGGUCUGGCUGUGGCACCGCUCCUAGGUUCUCUAAACAUGAAUAUGCCUUUGGGGGAAGACAGAAGAACAUGGAAGCCAUGUGAAAAAAACGGAUCCUAAGGCAGUUUUGAACAUCUGGAGGCCUGAUUUAUUGGAGAUUGCAAAUGUACAGUGUAACAUAGCUGUGGAGAGCGAGAAGAUCAGGAUUGUCAAUGCUGUCAUUGCUUUUACUGGAAUCCCCAGCACGAAUUGAAGGUCUCACUUUGCCACCUAGGCUGGAUGCAAUGCAACGGUAUGUUGAUCUUGGUUCACUGCAGCCUCAACCUCCUGAGCUCAUGUGAUCCUCCCACCUCAGUCCCCCACGUCGCUUGGAUUACAGGCCUGUGCCACCACACCUGGCUAACUUUUUUUGUAAUUUUUGUAGAGACAGGGUCUCACUAUGUUUCCCAUGCUGGUCUUUAAUGCCUGAGCUCAAGCCAUCCGCCUGCCUCGGCCUCCCAAAUUGCUGGGAUUACAGGCAUGAGCCACCAUGCCCAGCCUAAUUCUUCUAAAUCUUAUCCUAGUAAUUAAGCCAGAAUUUUUCUCUGCCAAGACCAAUAGAUGGACCAAGAAGUACUCAUCCUUGUAAACUUUCUUUGGAUAAAUUGCUUACAUAUAAUAAAUUCAGAGUUAAG